rnacentral:rRNA from 1 species
CUGAUGCAGCCAUGCCGCGUGUGUGAAGAAGGCCUUCGGGUUGUAAAGCACUUUCAGUCGUGAGGAAGGUAGUGCAGUUAAUAGCUGCAUUAUUUGACGUUAGCGACAGAAGAAGCACCGGCUAACUCCGUGCCAGCAGCCGCGGUAAUACGGAGGGUGCGAGCGUUAAUCGGAAUUACUGGGCGUAAAGCGCAUGCAGGUGGUUUGUUAAGUCAGAUGUGAAAGCCCGGGGCUCAACCUCGGAAUUGCAUUUGAAACUGGCAGACUAGAGUACUGUAGAGGGGGGUAGAAUUUCAGGUGUAGCGGUGAAAUGCGUAGAGAUCUGAAGGAAUACCGGUGGCGAAGGCGGCCCCCUGGACAGAUACUGACACUCAGAUGCGAAAGCGUGGGGAGCAAACAGGAUUAGAUACCCUGGUAGUCCACGCCGUAAACGAUGUCUACUUGGAGGUUGUGGCCUUGAGCCGUGGCUUUCGGAGCUAACGCGUUAAGUAGACCGCCUGGGGAGUACGGUCGCAAGAUUAAAACUCAAAUGAAUUGACGGGGGCCCGCACAAGCGGUGGAGCAUGUGGUUUAAUUCGAUGCAACGCGAAGAACCUUACCUACUCUUGACAUCCAGAGAACUUUCCAGAGAUGGAUUGGUGCCUUCGGGAACUCUGAGACAGGUGCUGCAUGGCUGUCGUCAGCUCGUGUUGUGAAAUGUUGGGUUAAGUCCCGCAACGAGCGCAACCCUUAUCCUUGUUUGCCAGCGAGUAAUGUCGGGAACUCCAGGGAGACUGCCGGUGAUAAACCGGAGGAAGGUGGGGGACGACGUCAAGUCAUCAUGGCCCUUACGAGUAGGGCUACACACGUGCUACAAUGGCGCAUACAGAGGGC